UCCGGAGACUGCGAUGCCGCGCAGAAACCCCGGUGCCAGCAGCAGAGUCAUCGCGGCGAACUUGGGCUUCAUCUCCUCAGGUCUUUUGUCAUUACUGGAGCUGCAACCAUUUGCAUCAUCAUGAGGAUCCCUCAGCCUGAAGUCUCCUAUGAACUGGGCACCUCUCAGAUCUUUCAAGAGAGAGGGCAUAGAAGAAUAAUCUUGAGCAGUUUGUAAUUCACUUGCAGCAAUUCACUAAAUAUUCUCAGUAAUGGAGGCCAAAAGGCAAGCUGGGAAAGAGAGAAGACGUCCAAGAAUCUGCUGAUACAGGUGUUUAAUAGACUGCUACCAAAAUAAAAUCCUUUUGUCAUUC